rnacentral:lncRNA from 1 species
CUUACUACUAUACUUCUCCACCACCACCUACACCCGUUUAUAUCUAUAAAUCACCACCUCCUCCACCACCAACAUACGUCUACAAGUCACCACCACCUCCAUCCCACCCAUACAAGCCACCAACUGAGCCAUACAAACCACCACCAUACUACUACAAAUCUCCACCUCCACCAUCACCCUCCUACAUCUAUAAGUCACCACCCCCACCAACCCCCACUUACGUUUACAAAUCACCACCACCUCCAUCUCACCCAUACAAGCCACCAACUGAACCAUACAAACCACCACCAUACUACUACAAGUCCCCACCUCCACCAUCACCCACCUACGUCUACAAAUCACCACCACCUCCAUCUCACCCAUACAAGCCACCAACUGAGCCAUACAAACCACCACCAUACUACUACAAAUCUCCACCUCCACCAUCACCCACCUACGUCUACAAGUCACCACCCCCACCAACCCCUACUUACGUCUACAAAUCACCACCACCUCCAUCUCACCCAUACAAGCCACCAACUGAGCCACACAAACCACCACCAUACUACUACAAGUCACCACCUCCACCAUCGCCUACUUACAUCUACAAAUCACCACCACCUCCAUCUCACCCAUACAAGCCACCAACUGAGCCACACAAGCCACCACCAUACUACUACAAGUCACCACCUCCACCAUCGCCUACUUACAUCUACAAAUCACCACCACCUCCACCAUACUACUAUAAAUCCCCACCACCUCCAUCUCCAUCCCCACCUCCUCCAUACUAUUACGAGUCUCCACCACCACCAAAACACGAAGAAAAACCUCCAUACUACUACAAGUCUCCUCCACCUCCAUCUCCAUCCCCACCUCCUCCAUACUACUACAAGUCUCCACCACCUCCUCCACAUUACGUCUCACCACCAUACUAUUAUAAAUCUCCACCACCACCAUCGCCAUCUCCUCUUCCACCAUACUACUACAAAUCCCCGCCACCACCAGUCCAUUCUCCACCACCACCAUACUAUUACAAAUCUCCACCACCACCAUCGCCAUCUCCUCUUCCACCAUACUACUACAAAUCACCUCCACCUCCUUCACCCUCUCCCACACCCCCAUAUUAUUACAAGUCUCCACCACCACCAGUCCAUUCCCCUCCACCACCAUACUACUACAAAUCACCACCACCUCCAAUAAAGUCUCCAGCACCAGUCUACCACUACAACUCUCCUCCUCCACCAUCACCAUCUCCUCAUCCUCCAUAUUACUACAAAUCCCCACCACCUCCAUCUCCAUCACCAUUACCCCCAUAUUACUACAAAUCUCCUCCUCCACCGUCGCCAUCUCCUCUUCCACCCUAUUACUACAAAUCCCCACCACCACCAGUCCACUCUCCACCACCACCAUACUACUACAAGUCCCCACCACCACCAUCGCCAUCUCCUCUUCCACCAUACUACUACAAAUCCCCUCCACCUCCUUCACCCUCUCCUCCACCACCAUACUAUUACAAAUCACCACCACCUCCAGUAGAGGCUCCGGCACCAACCUAUCACUACAAAUCCCCACCACCACCAUACUACUACAACUCUCCCCCACCACCCCCAUAUUAUUACAAGUCCCCACCCCCACCUUCCCCAUCACCACCACCUCCCUACUACUACAAGUCUCCACCUCCACCUUCCCCGUCACCACCACAUCCUUACUAUUACAAAUCCCCACCUCCUCCCUCACCCUCACCCCUUCCCCCAUAUUACUACCACUCACCUCCCCCACCAGUGACAUCACCUCCACCUCCGGUCUACAUUUACGCUUCUCCUCCACCACCAACUCACUACUAGGCUCAGAAAGAUCAACCACAAAAUUACAUCGUUCAUGUAAGUAAUAGUUUAGUUAAACCUAUCAUUAUUAGUUAUCAUCCAACGAUUUAUUUCAUAUUCUAAUUACUUUUCUGCAUUUAAAUUUCAGGUUUUAGUUUCAGCAAAGGAAUAAAGCAAGGCACCGGGAAGGAGAGAUUUGGACAUCAAACAUUUCCACUUUCAAGUCCAUUCAAUAAAGGCCUGAACAUUUCAUUGGAGAGCUACAAUUUUGGUAAUCCAGGCCAGAUAACUUCCACUUCCCUGGUGGCCAUAUUACACAUGCUCUUAAUUUAUCAGAAGAGAGUGAGAGUGGUUUUCCCAGGGUGGCUGUUGUAGUUUGUUUGUUACUGUUCAAUUACCAAUUUAUUGGUUUCACCUAAUUUAUUUGUGUAUAGCAAAGUGGCCAUUGUAUGGUUAAGCGUUCUAUUUAUUGUGGGCAUGCAUUUGUUUCGUGGAUCUUGUUGUACUACGUGCACUGAGAUAGCAAUAAAGGAAGAUAUUCCUGUCACAAUGUUUCUCGCUCUAUUUUAAUUUCUCUUCCCUGAGAUCUCAAAUGCAAAUGUAAUCCCUUGCAGCAGCUUUUCUCUAAGCAUUUGGACCAAAUCUAGCUGUCUGUAGGUAGAGUGGGUCUUGUUUACAAGUUAUUUCUUUUUCAAGCAAAGGGAAUUCUUUAGUUGGGAAACGAGUAGUGCAAAAGAGGAGUAGCUUAAAACAAAAGCAUCCCUCUCUACUGACUUUCUCAUAUCACAAGGAUGCUUCGAUUUCCUCCAUUUGAGAAAAAUAAUUAAAUCGAGAAUUCCUCAGUUCAAUUCUUCCUUUCCAUCCCACGUAAAGGAAAGAAAAGAUUCCAAACAUAAAUUUAACCCUUUCAAGAUAAUAACCAUCAAGUUAAAUUUGGAGUGUUUUGAAAAAGAAAACGACUAUACAUGGAAGUAAAAUCACGAAAAAUUAUAUAAGAACGUACAUAUAACAUAUGGCACUUUCCUAGCUUCUUCCUACGACAGGACAUAUGCACUCAGCCCAGUCAUGGAGUCAUAAUGCCUUAUGCUGUCAGCCAGCAAAGCAUAUCUUUAUCCUAUCUAUCUCUCCAUCUCUGCACUCUAUAUUAAUUGUACUCCAACUCUAUUAAUUGUCUCUCAGUGGCUUGCAGCGUUUUUCCAUAUUGCUCUGCUUCUUCCAAUCUGUCUUCUCUCUGCAAAAGUGCCAGCUGACAAAAGAAAAAGGACAAAUAAUCUUCUGGUGGGGAUGAAGCUUUUGCAUGAUUUUCAUGUUCUAGAACUAGAACGAAACAUUCCCACUUUAAAUCAAUGGAAUGCACUCUUCUCAAUCCUGAUAAGCUCAACACAUCAGUAUCGUCUUUUUCAAUUUUUUUUUUCCCACUUUUCUCUCUCCCAAUGUGCUCCAUAGACUAUAGUUUAUACCUUUUAGAUGACUGUCAUUAAGCUCUUAUCUCUAUCAAUCAAUCUUUAGAAGAAAAAGGUAAUUACGGAUCAUUGAAAAUAAAUGCAUUAGGGUCCAUGGGAGCUGAGAGAUAUACUUUUCUUCAGUGGAAUAUUCCAUGCCGAAGCAUCUUAAUUUGGAGCUCACUAGCUAAUAAACUGUAGUGAUUGGGAGGGAGUAAUUAAGCAUCUUGAGUAAGGGUUACUCCAGUUUAAUUCUUAAUAAUACGGUUCAGGAAGAUCGUCGUUAUUCAGAAUUUAACUAUGAAUACCCCAAAUGGUAAGAAACAACCAAGAAACUUAUGGUUUCUACGGGCGGCUAACCUUGUUGGUCUGGACCACACAAACUGGGAUGAAAGGUAGGUCAAAGAUGCAUCGAUACCCUUUCGUCGUGUCACCAUGCACCGACACAUUGCUACUUCUUUACUUUGUUUUUUUUUUUAAUUUUUCUUUUUAUGCAGCCAAAAGAUUCGAUCUCAUGAUUACAGUAAAUUAAGAUUGGAGCACAAAGAGAUGAUACCCCCAUUCAUGCAGCAAUGAUAAUUACCAAAUGGCAAAAGAGAUAGCUAGCCUUCACGCAGUCCCAAACAAAAAGAAGUAGAGAAUCUCUUUGGUCUGAACGUGGAACAUGUCUUUUUUUAAUUUUUUUUGAAAAGCUUCAUUUCAUUGAUAUAGUGGAAGUAAUACAAGUUGAUGGAAACAAAAGGCCAUCUGAGCUGUAAACAAACGUUGAACAUGUCAUUGAUAUGAACACCUACGAUUCCUUUUUGAAGACAAUCAAAACGCCUCUCAAUAAACAAUUUACGCUCAUUAUUACGACACUAUCAUUUGCCCUAUUUAAUAUGACCAUAAUUUAUUAAUUUAAUUUGAAAGAAUUUUUUGUCAAUUAACGUUUCGACAGUAAUUUUCUAGAUUUUAUUGUCAGUAAUCUUUCUGUAUUAUAUACAAUUAAUAAUUAUAUACAACAAAUUUUCAAUGUAUUGGAUAAAAAUAUUAGUUUAUAUUAUAUGAGAUAACUUUAAAGAAUGAUUUUAGAGUGCUGGUUAACAAAGCCGCAUUUAAAAUUAAUUUUUAAAUAGAUUGGUAAAUCCAACCUUAGAUUAAUCCAAAAAAAUUAUUAUCAAAUAAUGUAAAACAAAUAGUUAGGAUACAACUGAUGAAACGAGUAACUUAACAGGCUGAGGAAUUAAUUAACAAUGCAUUCCUUUCAACUUCCUAAGGCUAGGGGGUGGAUAAGAUUUCCUUUCAUUAUAAUAAUUGCCUACUAGAAGCAUAUUUGAGGCCUCUUGUAGAGCUCUAAACCCCAUAAAUAAUGAACAUGAUGCAAGUUUUGGUGGAGGGGUUGGUGCAGUGCACCUUCUAAAAGAAGCUUCUUUUUCCUGUUUAUUGAUUUGUGUAUAUGGUUUCAGGAGGGGAAAAAGAAAAAAGAAAACCCAAAAGAAUUGGCCAAAGCCCAAGUGAAGCAGGUGAACCAGCUACUUGCAGCAGCUGGGAAGUCAUUGUCAUCAUUCAUCGGCUUACCUCUCAACCUCUCAUUGGAAGCUUACAAUGGACAAGUCAAAAGUUGAGAGUGUGAGAAAGAGAAAGAGAAAGAGAGAGAGAGAGUCCCCCCCAACCCCACAUGGAAAACGAUUCCUUCUCCCAUGGCAGCUGCUUUGAUAUAUUCCAUGGAGUGUCCAACUUGUUAUCGUAGAAAAAGGGUCCCAUCAUGGCAAAAUAAAGCCUCCUAAUGCUCACAAUGCUCCACCAGCAAUAAUGCAAAUUGUUUCUACUGAGUGAAGUACGAGCGAUGGCUCUCUUUCACUCUUUGUCCGUUAUCAGUUUAUUAUAUUACAACGUGAAAGGGGGAAUGGAUAAGUAGGGAUCCAAUGCACGACAAGUGGGAUCGCUUCAAUGGCAUGGAACUUUUCCGCAUCUCAUAUAAACAUAAAAUCAAGCCAAUAAUAUAGAUUUGUUUUUUGGGGUACAUAGUAAUCAAAUAAUCUAAUAACCUUUAACUUUAAGCUAAUAAUCAGAUAAAGUAGCCAUGUCUUUUGUUAGGCAAUCAUGAAAGUGGAUAUGCUAUUUUCUUGUCACGUAAUAAUCAUGGAAAAAACAUUGAUGUUACAUUUUGACGAUUUUGCCUUGCAUGUAGUGGCGCUUAGGCUUAUGCAAAACUCAUUUCUACAGAAAGAUUCUCAGCUGUGUCGGUGGGACUUUGGGUCUAUAUAUGUAUGCUCAAAUCAAUACAUGUGUUUCUUUUUGGUAAUAUUCGAUAAAAUUUAAAGUGAGAAGCAAGGGGGUUUGAAAUAUUUAGACUUUAAUUUUUUUAAAAAAAAGAAUAAUAAUUGUUAGUCAUUUUUUAAUUUUAAAAUAAAAUGGAUAUAUGAUUUUUCGGAUAUUAAAUUUAUCAUAAAUUUGAUUUUAAAAAAAUAAGUAUGUUAUAUUAUAUAUAUUUCACUUUUAUACACCUUUAUGUUAUAUAUUUUAAUCUAUCUAAGAUUUCUAUAUUUACGCAUAACAUAAUUUUGACGAAUGGAAUUUGCAUCUACAUGUAACUAUAAAAUUUGGUUGAGAAAAUAUUAUUAAAUAAUAUAAAAUUAUAAUUCAAAAAUUGUUAUUGUGAUUACUUUCGAUUUUACAUUUUUGUCGCAAUCAUGGUGCCGAAUUGGUCUAAACGAGUUAGUUGGAAUUCCCAAUGACAUUCUUGGACGUAGGAUUGGCUGGGUCCGAGUCCCAUUUUGCUUUGGGUUUGCCAGAAUUUGGGCUUCCCUGGCCCAAAUUAACUUUUGGGUUGUAGAAACCCCUUCCAUUUCCAUCGUAGAGCCUAAAAGAGAUUGGGCUAUAUCUCUCAAACUAUAGGUGAAAGAUAGCCCAUAACAUUUGGGCUUCUAUGAAGAAAAAAAGAAAGGGAAAGAAAAUUUCAAUAGGAGAUGCACAAUUUGCUUCUUCUCCAAUCUCUGCGAGAAAAACUACUUGUAAAACAAUAUUUCUUCUUUCGCUUCCUUUUCUCGAACUUUCUCUUCUGCCAGUUUUUAAAUUCGUUUCAAUCAAAAUCUAAAUCAAAAUCGUAUACUUCCGGGCCUUUUUUGGCUAAAAGAAGCUCUUUUUUCAUCUAAAUAAUUGGUUAAAUAGAAUUCUGAUCGGCCAUGGUACGUUCGCUCUUUACCCUUUUGUUUAAUUUUCUUAUUCAAAUUUUAUUUUACUAUCAGUUGCAUGAAAAAUUUCUUGUUAAUUAAGCUGAAUUAUUGUUAAAUUCAAAUAUAUGUGGUUUUUCAAUGCUAAUUUGGAUGUUUUAGCUUGUUCGUAAAAACUUUUAGGUAAUUCUGUUUCUUCGGGUCGUUAUUAAUUUAUUUGUUAUUGGCAAUGAUAUAGGAGUAUUGGUAACUCUUUCUGCCACAUACCAAGAUAUGGAUGUCUUGGACAUAAUUCAAGUUUCAAGUAAAAAUGAUCUGCUUCAACUUACUUACUUUUAGAAUCAAUAUGCAUUUGGGUUUUUGGUUUUGAAAGCAACCAAUGUCAUUUGAAAGGAUGGGUCUACUAGAGCUGGACUCUUUCCUCUGGAUCCUUUCAUGUAUCAAGUUUAGGUUGCAUCUUGCUUCAAUGCCUCUAUCUAGUACUCUUUUUCCUUACUUUGAUGUUUUAGGUUAUAAACAGUUCAUCAUAGGAUCCCGUAGCUUUUAUCUUCUUGAACGUUGGCUUCUUUAGCAUAUUUUUGGUUGUGAGAGAUUGCAGAGGAAAUGAAUUUAAAUUACUACAUAGUAUUAAACUUUAUGUUUCUUAUUGAUUUUAUUUCUAAGAAUUUAUUUCAAUCUCAAAUGGGUCAAGUUACAUUAUGGUUUGCUCAGUUGGGGUGCUUAGUUUUCCUAAACAACCAAAUUGAGGAUUUAAAUGAGUACCUUUUAGAAUAAUUAUGUUAGUAUCAUUAGUGUACAGAGAUAAAAAGAGACCAGUCAACACAAGUUCCUUGCUAGUUAUAGCUGUAACAUUCUGAAAUUCAAAGUGAUAAGAAUGUGAGAGAAUGUUUUGUAAUAAAAUGUCAAGAUAUUUAUUCCAAGCUAUGCUGUCUAAGUUGAGGAGAUGUAAGCAAUAUUCCUUCCAAUUCUUUGGCCUUAUUCGAUGAAUAUGUGGAUUGCUGCUAAGAAUUGGCCUGUUUAAACUUGAAAGUGCUGGAAGGAUAAGAUAGAGGUGAAAAGAUCAAAAGACCUUACAUUGAACCAUGAACUGCAACUUGUAGAUUAAAGAAUCUAUUCUGGAUUAAUUUAAACUGUUUACAAGGUUUAUGUAGUUUGCUGUUAGCUUUGUUGUGCUGUCUUGUGGUUCUUUGGUUUUGGUUCACUUUAGUGUUGUGCUAGUAUCUAGAUUUUAAGAAUUCUCAGAUUUAAAAUACUAUUUCUUGCUUGAUAAGACCAUAGAUCAAAGAGAGAGAAGGUUGUAAUGGUGUAUGUUGUCACACUUGCAUUUUGUUUGAGACUUUUUUACAUUGAUGGUAUUAUCAUUGUCAUAUCAAUAUAUCCUGUUAUGCAGGCUGCAAAGAUUCUUGCCAACUUAAUUGUAAUGGGCUCCGGUAUAUUGGCUCGUGCUGUUGUUCAGGCAUAUCGUCAAGCACUUGCAAGUUAGUUCAAUACUGCACUACUGUUAUUUCAUGUUUUUACUUUGCUUGAAAAGUAGGAGCUUGCUUUUAUUGAUUGUAAUGAAGAUAUGGUCUUAAAAAUAGUACAAUAGUGCGCUAUAAUCAUUGUAGCAGACUCCACUUAUUGGUAACUAGCUUUGUUUGUUGUUCUGUAUUUUGAAAUGCGCAUUGACUUUCUUCAAUCAUAAUGCCCCUUCUAUUUGAAAUUACACAGUUAUGGCUCUUGCAAUAAUAGAGUUUCAAGGUCAGGAUAGUGAAACGAGACAUGGAGCAAUUAGUACAAUGUGCACCAAGAAAGAGCAGAAAGAUAAAAAAGCUGAUCCUGGGGUCUAUGAUUAUUUACAUUCAACCUAAAUAUAUUUUGCAUUCAGCUCCUUUUGCUGACCAGAAAUAGGCUAAGAAAGUUUGAAUCUCAAAGUUAUGAAGGCUAAAAGCAUUUCAGGGUUAUUACAAUUUGAAAGUUGGACGAAUAAAUGUUUCUGAAGUUCUUUUUCUUAUCAAUUUAUUCUUUUGUUUAACUCUGUGCAGAAGUUCUUUUAAAAUUUUGGUUUUAUGACUUUAUGUUUAUGCAGUCAUGAUAAUGAGAGCUAAUAAUUAACUAAAUUGGUACUACUUGUUUUCUACAUUUUAUAUGAAUUUAUAUUAUUCACCAAUUUUUCAUGCCACCAUGUGCCACUGCAUUUAUGAAUUCAUAUUGUCUCCCUCUUCUCUCUGACAUAUACCUGUAUACAUCUGGUUUAGUAGUGAGCUAAAUAUUCUAGAUGUUGAUUUACUCAUGGUGAGAUCUUGUUGAAAGAAGUCAAAUUGGUUGAGUUCCAGAAUCAGCAUUCUAUUGUUAAUAAAAAAAUGGCAGUGUUGUGCCAAUACUUAAAUUAUCAGAAAUCUGCAACUGUAUCAGUUGAUCUCUGCUACUCUUGUGAUUGGUUCUUUUUUAUUUUUUAUUGCGACACUGUAACUAGCAUUUUAGGGAGAAAUAACAACAGCAAGAUGAUUAUAUUUAUCUAGUGGCAGGUUUUGUUUGCUUUAUAUGUAUCAAUGUUCUGAACAAUAAGUUUAUUGCAGAUGCUUCAAAAUCUGGUGUUGCCCAGGAGACACUACAAAAUGCUGCCCGCCGAGCUAGCAAAGUCAUGACCGAGCAAGAGGCUAGGCAGAUUCUUGGUGUAAGUGAGGAGACUGCUUGGGAGGAGAUAAUGAAGGCUAGUAUUUUUUGUGGAUCUUUUUUUUUUUUACAUUUUUCUCUGUUUCUGUUACUAUCACCUUGACAAGUUUUAAAACUUCUCCAUUACUUUAUUUCAGAAAUAUGACGUUUUAUUUGAGAGGAAUGCCAAGAACGGGAGCUUCUACCUUCAGUCGAAGGUUCAUAAGGCUAAGGAGUGCUUAGAGGCAGCCCAUCAAGGCAAAGGGGAGGGCACUCCUAGUUGAGAAUUUGUCGAGGUUUGCUCAUUGCACAUAGAGACACCUGUUUGUAUACUAAUUCUAGUCUCUGAAGAAUGGUCUAAAAGAUUUAAAUUGUAUGCAGCAGCUGUUCUACAUUUCGCUGCUCCUGGGUUCGAACGUUUAUGGAAAUUUUGUAUCAUCAAUGCUAAAGUAGUUGAGUGGUUGCGAACAACUAAAGAUUCUUAAAUCAUCUAUGCCGGCAAUGUAUCUUGAUCUAAGUGUUUGCAGUUGAUGUGCUGCAUGUUAGUUUAAUACACAGCGCGGAUUAGUUGUAAUACUAAUAAAGAAUGUGAGAAAUUACUUGUUAGUAUAUAAUAAGUUUAGUUUGAUUUAAGUAUUCAUCCACCCAACUUUUUUCUUCCAUAAUUUACGAGUAUCCUUCUUGUGAUAAUGAAACCAUCAUGAUUAUUUGACAUGCAAUCAUCAUCCCAUUGCAUUAAGCUGUCAAAAUAGUCCAAGAUUCCUACCCAAAAGCAACUUUGUCAGGGCUAAAUGGAAAACAAAAUUAAAACAGAUACCGAAAGAUGUAGCCUGAAGUCAAACUGGCUACAAUUGUUAACUGUUCAAGGGCCGUGGUUAGCAUAUUAAUCCUAGCUAGGUUUAGAAUUAUCCUGCUUGUUUCUUUUUGGAAAUUAAGAAAAGUUUUCUUUUAAGGGCAAAAGGAAAGAGAAAGACUUUAUGCCGCUUUGCCCUUUUCAUUAUUAUGGAACCCCCUUUUUGUAGCCAAUAUUGAGACAAUGAAAUGCAAACUCGACGGUGGUUACUCCCUCACUUUUGUCAUCUUUCUAUGCUUUGGUAGCGUCUCUUUCAUUCUUUGAUCAAUCCCUGCAGCAGAAACAAAAUAUUCCAUGUCAUAUAUUUUUCCUGUUUUCUUUUGGACAGAAGAAUCUGAAAAGAAGGGCAAAAUGACCAGUCUAGGUUUGCAUUCACUUCAAAAACUUCACCGGUGUGUGUACAGAUUAGGGCCACCACCCAGAAGUAGAGUAGUAGAAAGGAGCUUCCAAAUUUCCCAUUUGCAUGUUUCCUCUAAAGAGAGAAACGUUAAAGAUUAUGCAAUGCCUACAUUCUUAUAGCAAAAUAUUUUUAAAAAAAAUUUAUCAAAUUAUUUUUUAUUACAUUUAAUCAAAUUUUGAUAUUUUUAUACUAAAUCAAAUAAAAUAUUUUGAAUAAUGAUUAAUUAAUUAUUAUUUAAUUAUUUUAUAUAAAUAAUAUUGAUGUGAUAUAUUAACAUAUCAUAAUAAAUGAUAAUGUGACAUAACAUUAAUAUUUUUACUCUUCACAUGAGUGACAUGUUAGUAUUAUAUGAUUAUAAUAAAUGAUGAUGUGAUAUAACGAUAUGAUAUUUUUACUCUUUAUAUGAGUGUCAUGUUAGUAUCAUGUCAUCAUAAUAAAUAACAAUAUGGUAUUUUUACUCUUCAUAUGAGUGUCAUGUUAGUAUCAUGUGAUCAUAAUAAAUGAUGAUGUGACAUAAUGAUAUGAUAUUUUUACUCUUCAUAUUAGUGCUGUGUUAGUAUUAUGUGAUCUAAAAUGACAAAAUGAUAUUUUGACUAAUGAUGAUUAGUUAACUUUUAGUUAUAAAAAUUUAUUUGACUCAAAAUUAAAAAAAAAUAUUGAGAUUUGAUUUAACAUAAUAAAAGAAUAAAAAUUUAUUUAAAAUUUUUUAAAUAAUUGGAAAAUUUUCAAAUAUUAUGAUAUCAAAAUUGUUUGCCCGUGAAUAAAAUAAUAUUAAAUUUUAAAUUAUUUUCGCAUUAAUUUAAUUUUUUUUGACCCUUUCUAAAAUAAAGUGAAUUAUUUAAUUUUUUUGAUUAUAAGGUAAAAUAACAUUACUCUUUUCUUAAAUAUUCAAGAGACAAAAGAUAUUUGGAGAUUACAAAUUUCUUUCUCCUUAAUGUUCCAAAGUUAUACUUUAUAAAUAGUAUUUUAAUAAAUAUUUUCAAAAGAUUUGACAGAUACGUAUAUGGACUUAUAAUCUGUUCUCUUUUCAUUUUUUCCUUUAAUAAGAGGAUGCUAGGAAAUGGACCAGUAAGCGAACCUUCGACCGACCAACUUAUUGUCUUCCUGUCUAUUCCUUUUAAUCUUUUACUCCCUCACAAAUUCUAUAUUGCAAAGCACAACUAGUCAACUACUAAUCAAAGGUCAACAUUAGCUCUCCAUUCACAAAAAUACAAAACAAAACUCAAAAUAUAUACUUGCCAUUCAAUCUAAAUGGUUUCAUAUUUAUGGUUAGAUUUCAAGUACCUGAUUACGAUAUAAUGUCCGAAUUAAUGCUCUGAAUUUUCUUUACAACCUAUGGUGGUGGUAGGCGGAGGCAUAUUAUUAUCAAGGAAAGAAGUGAGGUCGCAUUAUAAGGGGAUAAAUAGGCCUCACUUUAAUUCAAGUAAUCUAUGCCUUUUUUUAAUAAUAGAAAGGCACUCAACGGAACUUGUAGCCAAGGCUAGGGUUCACUAAUUAUGCACCUGUCGUUUAUUAAUGCCUCCCCUCUUUUAAUUAGAAAAAUUGAUACAUGUCUUUAUUGUCAAGGACCAUACAAAUUUAUAAACCCACGAGUAUUUCCCUUCUCCAAGGAUUCGAAAGCAUAAGAAUAUCUUAAAUUUUAUCUUUUUAAUUUAAAGAUAAAUAAUAAUCCUCUGAUCAAGUAUUCAUAUAUAUAUAUAUAAACUUUUGCACAUUAAUUUAAAAGAUUAAUAUUUAUUAUCAUAUCUGUCACAUGAAUAUUUAUUUUUUUCUUUAUUUACAAAAUUCUGAAUGAAGUAAAUUAUAUUCUGAUAAAAAUGAUUCCAUACAGAUGUGACAUAUAAAUUUUAUUAUUAUUUAUUUAUUUUUAAUUAAUAAUUUAAAAGAAGUAAGGUGGAUUAAUGAUAAUGACGGUUGGGAAAAGGAGAUUAAAGUGACAAAAAAGCACUCCAAAGCAACUUCCCACUAUUAUUACAACUCAAAUGUGGAAGAAAAGCUUUGCAUUAUGAGAUCCCAAAAUAAAUAAUAUAUAAAUAAAAAAGUUUAAUAAGUUAAAAUAUAUAUAAAAAGGAAAAACAAUCCCUUAAUUUUCUGCGUGUAAGUUGCGCUGUCUUUUUUAUUCCAAUCUUUAAUUCUCUAAACCCCCGAAAAUAAAGAGAGAGAGAAAAAAAAAAAAAAACACAGCAACACAAACCAAACCAAAACAAAGGUACUUUCUCUCUCUCUCUCUCUCUCUUGCUGGUUUGGUAGCGUAAUAUUUCUUCAAGCACCAAAUUUUGCAUCGAUUUCUUGGGAGAGAGCUCAUAGCGCUAUUCCUCUCAUUUUCUUUGUUUUUUCCCUCUCUUCAGUUUUUUCUCUCUAACAGCGACGAUCGAUUUCAGAAAUUGAAAAUCUUUGCCUUUCAGAUCUGCGCUUUGAAUUUUGAUUCGAUCAGGUUCAGGUUCCAAUCUUUGUUUGGUUUCAUCCUCCAUCUUUUUCUCUCUAUCAAUCAGAUCUGAUACGUUUUGUUAUUUUUUUUAAUUGGGAAUUUCGUUGGAUUUCUCAUUUGUAGAUCUAAUUUUCAUUUCUCAAAAUUUAGCUCCAUUUGACCUCGUUUUGAUGAUUUUCCCUGUUUCUUUUAAUACGUAAUUGUUGUAAAAAAAAUUACUCUUUUUGAUUGAAUGGUUAGAGAUUUGUUUCUUAUUCUCAUAAAUGACAUGUAUAUGUGUUUGUCGAUGCUUUUCUUGCCAAGACUCAAUCGUACGAUUUGAAGAUGUAGGGAUCUAUCGAAAUACUUCUCGAAAGUUAUAGGAUUUUGAUCCCAAUUAGCUUCUUUUAAUGGUUAAAUUAAAUUUCUUCUCCAGUUUAUGCAUUAAAUAUUUAAAUCUGAAUUUCGUGUAACUGUAGUUAUAUGCAAAUUUAAUUUCAUUAUAUUGCCUGCAAAUGACCAUUAUUUUUUCUUUUGAAUUCUUUGACUUUUCUUGGUAACAUUCAAGCUUUAUCUGUUUCAGAUGAAUAUGUUUGAUUGCAUUUUAUAUAUUCCAUUGUGCUGUCUUAAACCGGUUCAAGAUCUAACCUUUCCUUAUUUUUCUUUGAUGUGACAGGGCUGCUUCAUUCUGAACGCAAGCAACCAUGAAGAAGGCCAUCGGUCAAACUGUUAGAGACCUGUAAGUGUAUUACUAGAUACUAAUUCCCCUAUACCCUCAUUGAAUUUGUUUUGUAUAUUUAAUACUAUAAAACAAUCUCUUGGUAGCAAACUUAUUCUAAAAAGACGAUGAUUGAAAUUUUGAUUGUUUUUUGUACAAUUUGUUUUAUUCCUGCAUCUUGGUAUUUGCUAUUACCAGCAGCUAAAUGAUUUUUUCUUCUUUGCUCUUGCAGCAAGAGAGAGGUGAAUAAGAAGGUGCUUAAAGUUCCUGGCAUAGAACAGAAGGUAAGAAUAUAUUUAGAAAGUUCACUGCUCAUUUGAGUGCAUAAAUUGUUUUGUAAGUGGUAGAUCUAUUGUCAGUAGUGGCUAGUAGAAUCAUGUUUGUUGUGGCUGACGGGAUCUAAUAAACUGUCUAAAACAUCGUUCUGAUUGAGAUGAUAUGUGAGAUCUUAAACUACCAGUGAUUCUGACUUCUAUCCACAUUUUAGUUGCAAAAAUUGAGGGCCUUUUAAUAUUAUUUAUUAAAGUGCUAUUGUGAUUCUAUACUGUUGCAUAUCCCAGUAAUGGAAUAGAAUUAGAGAGGCCAACAGAGGAAGAACAAGCAGUGCUUAGGGAGGCUGAAUUUUGUGGAAGGUGAAGAAAUGGUAUGAUAAAUGGAGUCCAGCAUGUGCACAUAUGCAAAUGGAGAAUUUUUUGGGUGAGUUGCGAAUGGAUAAUGCUGUUUGUCUGCAUUAUGGAGAGCAGAGAGGUGACGAUAAGGGGAAAAAAAUGCUCUUGUUUUCGAAAAACUGUAGAGGAAAAGUGCGAGAACUAAAUUGAAGUUAAUGAUGUCUUUGAAUUAGUAGCUUGAUGGGAUAUUUGUAUUAUAUGAUGGGUGGUUUCCUACUGGUAAGAGGGCUACAUAGUAAAUGUGUCAACCAUGCACGAUAAUGUAUGGAGUUGGACUAAUAAAGUUUCGACAAUUGGCUAAUUUGGUUUGGAAGAAGAGUUUGCUAAUCUCAACUUUUGAGCAUCCUGUGGUGUGUCCUGUCUGUUACAGCCAGUUUGAGCCUUUGAGUGAAAGUUUGGAAGCUCUUACGCACAGGGUACUAAAAGGACUGAUUCUUACAUUUGCUGAAGGGUCCCAACUUUUUCCGUGUAAAUAUCUUCUCAAGUUGGAUUAAGUGCCAUUGAUGCUGAUUGAGCUGAAUCUUGAUUGCAUAAAGUGGUUUCAAAAUUUUUUCUUUUUCAUUUUCUUACUUUGACAGGGGAGGGGAUUGCCGUUAUUGAAUUCUUGAACACCAACUAGCGCUAUUCAACAACUGCACAGUAACAAUACUACUUGUAAUACUAUUAUAAAAUUUAUUUAUCUGCAUGAAACAAUAUUCUUUUCUGUUCCUUUUGUCUUUCAGGUUCUUGAUGCUACUAGCAAUGAGCCCUGGGGUCCUCAUGGAUCGCUUCUUGCAGAUAUUGCAAUGGCUACACGAAACUAGUAAGCUUGAGAGAAAUUGUGCAUUAUUUUUAUCAUUUAUUUGUUACAGGAGAAGUCAUUUAUAAAAUAUCCAUGCAGUCAUGAAUAUCAGAUGAUCAUGGCAGUAAUCUGGAAACGUAUAAAUGACACUGGAAAGAAUUGGCGACAUGUCUACAAGGUCAGCAUUAUGUUGAGGGAUUAAUUGCAUUACAUGUGUUCUCAAUCUGUUCUCUCUUUUCCUUUACAAAUUUCGUGGAACUGUUCAAAUUUAUCCUUUGUCUAAAUCUCCAUCUUAACAUUUCAAUUGUCCUUUUGUUGUCACGUAGUACAUCUUUUUGGUACUAUAUUUUACUUUUUCUGCAGUUUCUCUGCAUAUAUUUACUUUCCUGCAUUUUACCCCUACAUUAAUUUAUACCAAUGAACUAAGGUAUAUGUCUUAUUGAGCUCCAGGCUCUGACUGUUUUGGAGUAUCUUGUUGCCCAUGGAUCGGAGCGUGUCAUAGAUGACAUAAGAGAACAUGCUUAUCAAAUAUCGGUAAUUGCUGUUUUUUGAUGCUAUUUGACAACUUUGCAUGUGGUGUUGAUGAUACAAUUUGCAGCUUACUGUAUUUAAAUACCGUGGUCUAAUAAAAUAUUUCUUCUCAUGUUGCAGACUUUGUCUGAUUUUCAAUAUAUUGACUCCAGUGGAAGGGACCAGGGUAACAAUGUCCGAAAGAAAUCUCAGAGCCUAGUGGUCUUAGUAAAUGAUAAAGAAAGAAUAAUCGAAGUAAGACAAAAGGCUGCAGCUAACAGGGACAAGUGAGUAAGCAGAAAUGCCUUCAUGUUGUAAUCUCCUUGCUGUGUUCAACUGUCUUUUCUAAUAAGUGUUUCAUAUCACCAGCAUUGGCAAAAUUUAUACUUAAUUUUGAUUCUAUGCAGUUUUCAACAUCACAUGUAGAUAAGCGUGCGUACAUUCAACUUGACAUGCAUGAGUGUUUCAGCUUGUCAAUUACAUUCGUGCAAGAGCAUGUACAUAUACACAUGCACUUUCUCUCACACUUGGUCAGAGAUAUACAUUUUGUGUUAUUGAAUGGGAUAGCUUGUUCCAUUGUUUGGGUAGAAAAGUCCAAGUUGUUAUUUGGUAUAUGUUGCUCGCAUAGCUGUUGAGAGACAUCCAUGUCUAGGGCAUUUCAGUUUUGGUUGGAGGCAUCUUUAAUAUAAAAAGUCUUGACUUAAGAUUGAUUAGAACUGUUUUUUCCUCCUAAGGUGCUGGUGUAUUUACACUGUUCUUGCCAUUAAGAGGAUUCUCUUGGGAUUUUUCUUGUUCAUCCUUUCACCAGUGGACAUCAAUUUUUUACUCUUUUAUGCCAAAUCUAGUGCCUUAUGGCAGGUUUUUGUCUAUUAGGCAUUUUUCUGAUAUGUAUCAUUGUGGACUAUAUCUGUCUUCCAUUUAUAAUUUUGAAUCUAUUUUCUGCAGCUGUGGUCCUAUAUCCCUAUUCUAAUAGAUAAUAUAGCUGAAAUACGGUGUUAAAAUUAUCUAUAAAUAAGUAUAUAUUAUAUAAUAUAUAAUAUUCUACCUUUUUCUAUUUGAGUUCCUUUUCUGUUAAGUACUGAUGGCAUUUCGUGCUCAUGAUCAUUUGACUGCACUUUUCUUGUCCCAUAGGUAAUGUGUUCAUAUAUUUUGCCUCUGAAAUUCCUUUUGGAUAUGAGAAUAUAAUUGAAUGGAAAUGUAGAAUUCUUCCACAAUGUCUAACUGUUUGUUCUACAGGUUUCGAAACACAUCAACGGGUGGAAUGUAUAGGCCAGGUUCAGGGGGAUACGGUGACAGAUAUGAUUAUGAUCGUUAUGGAAGCAGGGAAGAUGAUCAAAAUGGUUAUGGAAGAGACAGGGAAUAUGGCUAUAGAGAUGAUGAUCGGUAUGGCAGAUAUGGGGAUUCAAACAGUCGUGAUGGGGACCGUUAUGGCCGGGAUUAUGAAGACCGCUAUAGCAGAGAUGGUUAUAGGGAUGAUGACUACAGAGGUAGAAGUAGAAGCGUUGAUGAUUAUCAGUAUGGCACAAGAAGCAGGAGCUCUGAUAGAGACCGUGCUGUUGAUGACGAUGGUGCAUCAUCUCGGUAUGUUUACUUUUGAGCCCUUUAUUACUAUGUUCUUUUCGAGCAACAUAUUAAUAUUGUUCAUCCAUUUUUUUAACCUUAUCUCCUUGAUUUUAUGUUGAAGUUACUUUUUUUUUUGUUGGAUAUUAUGAAACAUCACCUAAUGGAAGGUGUGAAUAUUUAUAGGUACUUUUCCACUAGAUUGGAAACUUAAAUGUUGCAUUUACAUCUAACUUUCCAUGGAACUUUUUUACCACCAUGAGCUUUAGGGUGUUAGUUUGCUGAGUGAAAUGUCCAGAUUUUGUAUUUGUUUUGCUACUACCUUCAUGGGAUGCUUGACAUUGAGAAUGUAAUUAGCAUGACCAUCUUCUCUGCAGGGGCAGCGGAGCUAGAGGUGAUGAACAUUCUCAGGAUGGAAGGUAACCCUGAGUGGUUGCGUUCUCAACUUGUGUUAGUUGGUCAGUUGUUAUUAGACAAGAAUUAUUUCUUUCUUGUUACUAAUAAUUUUCUGAAAAUCAUAUUUGUGCAGGCGGCUUGAGCGGAGGUUUUCUGAACAAAAUAUUGGUGCUCCUCCUAAUUAUGAAGAAGCAGUUAGUGAAUCUCGGAGUCCUGUUCAUAGUGAAAGGUAUUUUUUUAUUCCUUAAAUUUUCAGUGGCAUGUUGCUUUAAGUUGUGUUUUUCUAGUUGGUGCAUACUGAAAAGAUCUUUGAUGAUAGGGAUGGAGAAACUUCAGUAGCAGCUGCUCCUAGAGCUUCAUCUCCUCCUGCUAGCAACAAUCCUAACCAAGCAGCCUCUGAUUUUGGUAAUUCAAUGUCUCCUGCAAAUCAAGUGGUGGAGGCUUUUGAUGAAUUUGAUCCACGUGGGUCAGUGUCAGGUACAAAUUUCCUUUAUAAAUUCCAUGCUUUGGAUGCUUUUAAUGGCUUUGUCUGGGUGAUUAUAGUUGUCUUUUAUAAGGAAUAUGUUGCCCUUAUUGCUUGUCCAGUAUGAAAAUUAGUUGAUGUGGUGGUCUCUUUUGACUUGAACAAUCACCCUGCAAAAUGUUAAUUUUUCAGUCAUCCAAGUAUGGUGUUUGAUAUGCUCUGUUACUUCACAUUCCAUUUCAUUUAUUUCGUUUCACAUGGUAGGUUUUAGUGUAUUCUUUUUAUCUGUAAAAUUUAUCACAUGUUUCUUGUGGAAUAUAUUUUAUCACUUAUAUAUUGAUAGUCAUUUCCGGGAGCCAAACUUUGCAGUUGGUUAUAUACUAGCAAUGACUUUAAAUUAUUGUGCCUGACAUGAUUGGUCAGGCUGCCUUAAAACGGAAAAGUCUGUUUCAGCAACAUUUUUUAAUUUUUCUUUUUUGCUCGCUUUCAAUGAUUACUGGUAUCAUUUAUAUAAGUGAUUGGAGUUUCAUGUGAUUGUGUGGAAUAAAACUCCUAGUUUUGAGGAGCUUAGAUUGGAUUCUUAUUGAUGCUAUUAUUGUUUAUCCAUUAUGACUGGAACUCAUUUUUCAUCUUUUGCUGCAUCUAUUAAAGCUGCCCCUACUACUGCUCCUGCUGCUACAGCCACUCCUGCUACUGCUGUUCCCACUGCCACGAUGAGUGCUGAAAUAGACUUACUCGGCGUGCUUUCAGAUUCAUUGGCCAUUGUGCCAACUACACCUGCCACCCCUUCUGGUGAGGCUGAUGCCCUUGAAAACUCUGGUGCUAUACCCAACUUUGCUGCUAAUCAAUCGGCAUCUAACUUUGAAAAUCAGGUAGACAUUAUUUGUUUAAUUGAGGGACUUUUUAUAGUCCAUACUCCUUGGUUCAUGUACAUGGAUUUCAUUGCACCUGUUUACAAUAUGCCUAUUGAUGGCACCAUCAAUGUGGAUACACUGUUCUAAUGUCUCCUUAUGUGUUUUCAUUUGUUUUAAGUAUAUUUAAAAAUUUAUGUAAAACAGCAUGGAUAGUUAAGAAUGAAGCAAUUUUGUGGAACCACUGAGUUUACUGUGUACUUAAUGUAGAAACAGUAACAUGAAAUGUUUUAGGGUGAAUUUCAAAAAAUAUGUAGGUGAAAUUUUUUUUAUUGUUGUAUUAUUGAAUGUUCCUUGGUGUUAAUUUUUUUUACUAACUGAUUAUGGAUAUAAUCAUCUGUCUUCUUUCGCUUUAUUUCCUCCUCCCACCCCACCCCCCCCCCCCCCCCAUCCUCUCUCUCUCUCUCUCUCUCUCUCUCUCUUACCCCUCUGAACUUUGUCUUUAAUUAAUUUGUUGCCAUAAUUCUAUUGCUAUGGGAUAAGUUAGUUUUGUCCUUGAUACAGGGCUUUGAUGAUCCAUUUGGUGAUGGUCCUUUUAAAGCUUUCCCUUCAACUGAUGCUACCCCAGCUCUGCAACAAACUUCAACUGCCAUGCCUACCUUCCAGCCUACCAUGAACCAAAACGCAGAAAUUCCUCAGCCACCUUCUGUGAAUCCUGAGACAGUUGCAGACUUCAACUUUGGGGAUUCAUUUUCUGCCAAUGCUUACUCUCCACCCACUGUCUCCAGUGCUCAAUCUCCAGCAAACUCCCAGUUUUUGCCUCAAGAACUGUCAACUCCAAAUCAGGAAAGUGAUAUAUUGGCAGAUAUCCUUCCACCGUCUGAACAUGCAGAUGGUGUAGCGGCACAGGCAGCCUUUUCAGCACCAACUAGCCACUCAGUUCCACCAGUUGCUACAUAUGGCCAAUCAACACAGCCAGGUGCUAAUAUCUAUGGUCAGCAGGCACAAUCAGGUGCUAAUAUCUACAGCCAAUCCGGACAGCCAAGUGCUAAUCCUUAUGUUCAACCCGGACAGCCAAGUGCUAAUCCUUAUGGCCAACAGGCACAGCCAAGCGCUAAUCCAUAUGGCCAAUCUGUGCAGCCAAGCGUUAAUCCAUAUGGCCAAUCUGCACAGCCAAGCGCUAAUCCAUAUGGCCAACCUUCACAACCAAGUGCUAAUCCUUAUGGCCAACCCACACAACCAAGUUCAAAUAAUACAUAUGGUAAUUUUAACCAACAGACAGUGUCUAUGCCCCCUCAAAGUGCAGGAUCUGCUGCACUGAGCAGGAAUGGGAGCUUAAUCUCUCAGACAGGUUCUAACAUUCCUGUCAGUUCACACAUGGCUGCCCAACCUCAAAACCCUGCUGGACCGGCUGCACAGUUUAACACUGGAAAUUUCCUUUCACAGCAGGGUUCAGUCGUGCCAGUUACUUCACAGAUUACUCAACAAGCCACAAAUGCACCAGUUGCACAAAGUAACAAUGAUGUCCUAGGUGGCUUAUUCUCACAACCAGGAAUAAACACUUCAAUGGUACCACAGACUGGUAGUCCCUCUUCAACAGGAGCACUUUCUAUAGUUCCACAACCAUCAAAGGACAAAUUUGAGCCUAAGUCAGCGGUUUGGGCUGAUACAUUGAGUAGAGGACUGGUCAAUUUGAAUAUAUCUGGACGUAAGUACUCACUUUUCCCCUAGUAAAAAAGGUCAUGAAGUCUGUACCUUUUCCACAAGAAUUAACUUUAUUUUAUUUUCUGUACACAGCUAAAAUAAACCCAUUGGCUGAUAUUGGAAUUGACUUUGAUGCUAUCAAUCGGAAGGAAAGGAGGAUGGAAAAGCCUGCUCCGACUGCAGUGACAUCUACUGUCACCAUGGGUAAAGCUAUGGGAUCGGGGUCUGGGAUUGGUCGUGCUGGUGCUAGCGCUCUCAGACCUCCACCAAAUCCUAUGAUGGGUUCUGGCAUGGGCAUGGGCAUGGGUAUGGGCAUGGGGAUGGGAAUGGGAAUGAGCGGCGGUCCUGUUGGUGGCAUGGGUGUAGGAGGUUAUGGUGGUAUGAAUCAACAACCUAUGGGCAUGGGAAUGGGGAUGAACAACAUGGGCAUGAAUCCAGGCAUGGGGAUGAAUAUGGGAAUGGGGCAAGGGGUCCAAAUGCAACCCCAAACUGGAAUGCCUGGCAGUUAUAACCCUGUGAUGGGUUCAGGGGGCUAUUCUCAACAGCCAUAUGGUGGUGGUUACCGAUGAGAUUGGGGUGCCUCCCCAUACAAAUGAGGGAAGUUAUUAUAUGCUUCGGAUAUACAGAGUAAAAGAGAUUGGAAUAGCAAACCCGGUGUCCCUGUCGAAUCCAUGAGUCAACGAUGUAAUUUUGUAGUCACAAUUCUCUUGGCAGUGGCCUGAUGCCAGCCCAUGUUUAUUCAUUUCUAUUAUUUCUCAUUCUUGCUUAAGCUAUUGCACACAUUUGGGGCCACGGGAGUCUUUUGCUUCAUUGCUGGUUUGAGCUGUUGUGAAAUUGUGUAGCAGAGAGGACGACCUUUCACAGGUUGCCAUUUUCUCAUUCUUCCAUAGAAUAUAUACAUAUUUUUUGCACCUGUUUGAGUAUUUGUAGUAUGUCUGGCUACACUAUGAAACAAUAAAUCUAAUCAUUCAUUUUUUUUCCCCAUCAUUUAGUUUCCCGUCAGCAACAGUAGUAAUUUCAGUAUAUUCACAAGGAAGAAGCAGAGGAGUGAAUCAGUUGGACACUUCUAUCAACACUGCCUGUUAGAAAAGCAAGUUUGAUUAUGGAUGUGAUCCGAUCCGAUAGGAUAAGAAGUUAUAUAUUUUAAGUAUCGAAGUUAGCACGGCAUUUCUUGGUUUAAGACGGUGAAGUCAUAUAUUUCUUAGAAUUACAGUCAAUGUGAAGAACUUACACAUUAUAAAUGAUUAAGCUUCCACCUAAUAAUGUAAGGUUGAAGAUUAGUCUGGAAUGGAGAACAUUUUCAUGUUUUGUAGUUUCAGUUGAAACCACCAGCGCCAGCCUUGCCAGCAGUAAGUUUUUGCCAUGGAAAGAGUUUCAUGCAGGUCAGGAGUAGGUGCACUAAGUUCUUGCCACAACCAAAUCAAACCAACACGGUUAUGAGGGCAAAGCUUAACAAUAUAUUAGAUUUUUGGUAAGGAGGAACUUGCAUCUAACUUAUAUGUAAAACACUAUGCUACAGUUAACAAAAUAUUUGAAUUAACACCAUAAUUUUCCCUUAUACAGACUGUUAUGAUAGCAUCAGGCUGAACAAGAGACACAGAAUUGUCACAAGAAAUGCAAAAAGCUUGAUUUUGAAAAACUCCAUGAGAGAGGAAUGCAAUGUCCUCAGAACUUCCCUUCUGAUGGUAUAAAUAAAUUAUGGUUUGAUCAGUUUGUUCAACAUAGGCUUGCAGAGUAUGAUUUCUGUGGCCUGGUUCUAACAAAGUAACGUAUAAAAGAAACUAGAACACACUUCGGAACUCUUAAGGAAGCCUUAACCUGGGGUUAGUGUUGCAAUACAAAUCCAAUGGACCUCCCCUUGCUACCUUCACGAUCACAUCUCCAAAUUUUCAGAUGUAACAAAAAAUCUACCUGUUAAAAAAGAAGCUCAAGUGUCAAUAGCAAAUAUGCCAAGAUAGUACAGCCAGGGUAUCUGUUGAAUAAUUCUGACAAAACUAUCUAUCAAAGCUUCAUAAAGCCUCAAAUCAUUUUGUGAACAUGUAACAAUAAUGUGGUGAUGGUGGAGGUGUUGUUUUAGCCAUAAUUAGGUGGUAUUCUUUAAAUGGGAUUAUUAUAUAAGCCUUUCUCUUCUAUCUGAAUCUAGACUUUCAGGCCUAACAAGCGAUUAGAGCAUCUUAGAAUUGAAAGUUCUCUUUUAAAGAAACCUAAAAGGUACCUUUAACUGUAGAAUCUUGAAAGUUCAAUUACAAUGGGAUCAUUCAAGAAAGACUUGAAUCCUGUCACCCAUUGUAUCAUUAAAAUCCAAUAGCAGCUUCCCCCCUACUUCCUCAGCAGCAUCAUCCAACAAUGCCUUGAUGUUUACACCCCCCAAAGCUGUGCAGAAAAGAGAUCAAACUCUUUACAGUAAUUUUCUCAAGAACUCAUCUGAAAAGAUAGUAAUUGUAAAUAUGUAAAACAACAACAUACCUGGAACAAUGUUUGUGACUCCUUCCAAAAACCCAGCCUGUGGGAAAAGGGAGAAGGUAAAAGGAAAGAUGAUAGUCAUUUCCAUAAAAAGAUACUUUAAUUAGACAUGAUGAUGACACCUGAUAUGGAAUGUUCUAAAACUGAUCAGAACAAAGGCCUAUUUCUAAAUGUAAAUAUCAAAGACCAAAGCACUGCCACGAAAGGUAGUACAGCCUAAUACUAUUCACAUGGAAUUCAGAUUUACCUGUAUGCAAAUAUAUCAGGAUAUGCGGAUGAAUUGGUGCUCAAACAUUAUGUCCUUUCCAAAGUUUCAGAAACAUUGGAAAUAUGUUUUGAAGAUCUUUGCAAAAGAUGAAACUGGUAAGGGUUAUACUUAUAUAUACCCAGGCCUACUGGGCAACAAAUAAAGAGAAGAAAAGCAAAUUGCAAUGUUAUCAAUCAGUAUCAACAGCAGCUUUAAGUGACAAGUCAGCAUCUUUUUAGCAUAUUGAUACAUAUCAUUUCACUAUCUGUAGCUAUAAAUGUGUGUUAAAUUCAUAGAUUGAACAGUAUUUCCUUCACAUUCUUCGGUAAAAGAUCCAACUAAAACAUACUUAUCAACUAAACAUGGUGCAUUACAGGAUUUUUUUUUUCAAUUAUCAAAUUAUUUAACUAGUAGAAGAAUAACUUUGUAAUGCAUUAAGAUUCACUAAAGUGUUCAUGCCAACUAAACAGCUGGGAUUAUCUAAUCCUUCUUGCAUGCUACACAACCCAAAUAAAUUUUGACAUAUAAAAGCAGCACUUAAUUUCAGGAAAUUAUGAUUGCGGUUAUGGCAUGUUUAGUUUGAAUCAUAAACCAGCAUUUUUAACGUCAACUGAAAGACAAGCAACCGAAUUAACAUGGUAUCUAUCCUCAAAGCAGAAGACUUACAGGAAUUCUAACAUCAAGUUUCUCAAAUCCAUCUCUUCCAGUAAUCUUGAUUCUCAACGUCCGAGACCAGAUCCCAGAAAAAGGACCCCUUGAACCAUCUGCACCAUAGUUAUUGUAUACAUCAGGAGUUAUCACCUCGACAACUGGAUCUUGAGGACUUUGACCUCUUUGUUCCGAGUCAUCUUGAACCCUUUGUAUACUGUAUGCAUUACUGCUCACUGACACAUAAACCAUGUUUUUUGGAUUAGGAAGACAAGACAACAAUUUUGCAUUAUUCUCAAAAAUGACUCUGGGCUUAAUUUGGGAGACAGAAUUGGCCAUCCUGAACCAAGAAUUUAGUUAAAAUUAAGUAAAACUACAAGUCAUAGCAUCAAAGAAGGUAGAACAAGUACAAAAGUCUAUAGCCCAUUUUUUUUUAAUUUUAUAAAAACAAAUAAAAGAACAAGUUCUGAAUGAAAGUUUUUUAGGCUAUAGAACCAAUUCUGGUCAUUGCAAUUUUAGCUCAAUGAUAUUAAAAAAAAGGAACAAACUUCACAUGAAAGAUGGGAGAGACUGAAGCAUGAUGGACAUUUUGCUCAAGAAAGGAGUUUUCACUCAAGUUUAGAGAACUAAAUCUCACCCACCUCUGUCUGAAUAUAGCUGAUAGGUGCUGGUAGCAUAUCUUUUUUCUUCCUCAUAGUAAUUAUUGAAACCUAAGAUUUCCUUGAUUUCGUCAAAAGAUGGCAUGCUUCCAGGAGGGGGGAUACGACCUCCUUUCAGGGCAGUUAGUGAAUCCUGCAAAUUUAUAGAGGUUGACAUUUGAGAACCAACACUGUAUUAACAAUCAAAUUGUGAAAGCAUGUGAAGCAUCGCUAAAUAUCCAUAUUGUGGGCAUCACAACAUUAGACCUUAAAAUUUUCCAGGCUUGAAAUAAUGGCUAUAUUCAGACUAGAAAUCAAAAUCAUACAUUGAAGCAGUACUUAAGUGCCAAGAACAGUAAUAUCUUUUUCAUAAGAAAAUGUAGAAGUUUCACAUUCACAGACAUCAAGAAAAGACCAAAAGACAAACUGAAUUAGGUUUCAAGGCACCUUGAACUGGAAAAUGCAGUUUAGCACAUAUUAUUAAAUGGUGAAAAUUAUCAAACCCCUUGAAAACACCACUAAAUGGUGUUUUGAAGUGAUAUAGUCAUCUUUUUCUCCCCUUCUUUCUGACUAAAGAAAAAUAUAUCUCCCUCAGGUCUAUCACCGGUCUUCCAUCUAUCUUAAAGGCUUCUCUUUGACUUUUUAGUGGUAUUAAGCAAAAGUACACACAUUUGUUUCGCAUCAGCCUGCUAAUUCAAAUUACCUGUAGCUUUCAGCCCUUUGCGUUACUUUUUUCACCAAUAUUUCUUCUGAAUUUUUAUGAAUGAGGGUUUAGCCUCCUUAGAGUGAAGAUAUUGGCCCUAACUAAAACUAACAUAUGUUAAUUCAACUCAUCUCAAGUUGUCAGCUUAUGCCAGCAAGACAGCUACAGAUAUUAACUAGCAACUGUAGACUCAACUUGAGUUAAAAAUUAUCAAAAUACCAGAUCAAUAUGUCAAAUCUUGCACCAAGAAUGUCAUUACCAUGCAUACUUGGUUAAGCUUAAAACAAAAUAAAUUCUAUUUAAUAUCAGAAGACAAUGAGCUCAUCUUCAUAUUAUCAAAGUACCCCAACACAGUGCCUGAAGCGUAAAAUAAUAUAAGAGUCAGAUCAUGUUAUGCAACUGCUUGUGUUUCUCCAUAAUCUGUGCAAUGGCAAGAAUCAAACCAUAGCAUUUGGUUUUCUUUUUGGUAGUUAAGCAGACUGCAUCAUGUCAGAUAAGUGUCAAAAGAGUGACAAGUGAGCUUUCAUACAUAUCAAGUGAAGAAAAUGAAGAUAUUGACCUGCAUUGCUCGUAUAGACACCCCAAUCAAGGAAAGUGGAUAUGCUACAAGUUUAUAUCCAAUUUCCUCAAGUUCAAGCGGAUUGAGUAUUGGUGUUUUCCCCCCACCUUCAAGCAUAUUAGCCUACACAGGAGCAUAAAAGCUACAUAAGUCAUUGAUGAUGGUUGAGAAUUGUCUGGAAAGGAAGCAGAGAACAAGUGCCUGUCCCAACAAGUUUGAGAAAUAGAAUAAAGAUGGGAAAAUUCUCAUACGGCAGAUCCCAUGCUAGUGACAAAUUCCCUAUAUAUACAUGUUGGAAAGCCAAUCAAGAUGUUUAAAUUUUCAAAUAAUGAAGCAACAGGAGAAAGCUACUGGCCUACUGCUGAAUAAAUAUUAUGUUUCCUCUGAAUUCUGUUUUAUAUGCAAUAAACUGUGUGUAUGUGAGAUUUUGGAGGAGGGGUGAGAGUUGCUACAAUCAUGCAAUAUAGUGUGUAAGAUGCUUAUUACUUGGUAUUACAUAAGGAACAUACCAUACCAUUUUUGGAACUAAUGGAGAAACUUCACAGAAGGCUUUCAUCUCUUCUUUAGAGGCUAGAGCAUCAAUAAAAAGGACAUCUGCUCCAGCAUCAGCAAAAGCCCUUGAUCUCCAAAGUGACUCCUCUAAAGACAGUGCUUGACGAGAAUCUGUUCGUGCCACAAUAACAAUGUCAGAACCACUCUCUUUGCGAGCAUCAACAGCUGCUUUAAUUCUCAUCACAGCUUCCUCUCUGGACACCACCUUCCUGCCUUGUGUAUGACCACAAGCUUUUGGAGACACCUGGCAGUUCAGUUUUAUAAAAAAUCGGAGCCUCAAAACAGGAACAAAAACAAAUAAGUAUUUCUAAAACUAAACUGGAAGGUUAGACUAUAAACGAAAUGGCUUAGGGUACCAUAAACAUUGUUUACAGCACUGCACUACUGGUGUUAUGCCAAUAUAAUCACUUUUCAUUAGUGUGACUAGUUUCUUUCAUGAUAGUAGGUUUUCAAGCCUUCAGUAAGAUUUCCAGAGGGCAUCUUCUAUAUAGCCUGGUUCUGUUAAUUUAUUCUCAAAGGUUGAAAUUAAUCCAUAGAUUUAUGUUAGAGGAAGCCUGUAAGUUUUCUACUGACUUCCUCUUAUCAAUUAAAAUUUACUUAUUGCAGACAAAUAAGGAAUACAAUUUAUAUCUUCAAAUCUUACUUUUAACAUAUCAAUACAAAAGACCAUGUCAUGACUAGCCUUAGCAGCAGAAAAUAACAAAAAUUUCAAAAGCUCAGCCGUGGAGCUGGCAGUGCUAUUCCUAAAACCUACUACACUACUUUUCCAGUUCGCAUGCAUGGGCCAUAAAUAUAGAAAACACAAAAAGGUCCAUGAGACGAAGCUAAUAUGUUACUCUACAUGCUCAGAACCCAUCUAUCUAAGAUUUAGAACCCAUUAGCAUGACUCCUAACAAAAUUAAUCUAAAAACAGGAGAUAUAGAGUUAGAAAACACCUGAGAGACAACCAGAGAGAGGGAGAGGGGAGAGAGGACAAAGAAAAAGAUGAAUGACUGAAAAGGUUUACCAGCAACAAAAUUAUUUCAAAAGCCAAAUAUUUUUCAACAGAACAUGAACCUGAUCUUCAAGAAUGAUCCCUGCAAAGCCUGCUCUUAUAUAUCCUUUAACAGUUCUCUUGACAUUCAUUGCAUUUCCAUAUCCAUUAUCACCAUCCCCAAUGACAGGAAUUGAGACUGCCUGGGUGAUUUGUUGCCCCUGAUCCACCAUUUCACCAUAGGAAAUAAAUCCUGUGUCUGGUAAUCCCAGGCGAGCAGCAGAAAUGGAAAAUCCUAAUGAUGGCAGCAAACAGUGUUAAUGCACAUAUCAUCUUGAAACAGUUGAGCAAUGAAAGUUUUUUAACAAAUAAUUUGUCCAAUAAUACACAUUCAGAUUUUGAUACCGGAAAUGUAUCAGACAUAUCUAAAGGAUGAUUCAAAAGAAACAAAAUAUUAGUGUUGUACAAAUCAAACCCGCAUGUAAGAAGAACAAAAGCAUCAAAACUGCAGUAAUUACUAAUUUAUUAUAAGAACCAUAUGAAUUUUCAGUAAAAACAUAUAUGAUGGUCAAAAAUAAAUGCAAUGGAACUAAUAUCUGGCUUCUGGAGAUACAAAGAAACAAAAAAAUGGUAAACCAAAUUGCCUUGGAUAAAGAAAUAAUCAGCAUCAAUAAUCAGUUAGCGCUAAAAUUUGCAAAUUCAGAGCGUUCUUCCAGAUUGAAUUUAAAUGUAACCCAUCAACCAGAAAAUUAAAAUCAAACUACAAGCACAAAUAACUCCAAUAUUAUAUAACCAGCUUAACCAUUUAAACUCAUAUAGUUACCAAUCAUACAAACUAAGACCGAGUCCUGGGGUUAUCAAAUCAAUGCAAAAACUGCACAAACCACCAAAACA